rnacentral:rRNA from 1 species
UACGUAGGGUGCGAGCGUUGUCCGGAAUUAUUGGGCGUAAAGGGCUCGUAGGCGGUUUGUCGCGUCGGGAGUGAAAACCCAGGGCUUAACCCUGGGCUGGCUUCCGAUACGGGCAGACUAGAGGUAUGCAGGGGAGAACGGAACUCCUGGUGUAGCGGUGAAAUGCGCAGAUAUCAGGAGGAACACCGGUGGCGAAGGCGGUUCUCUGGGCAUUACCUGACGCUGAGGAGCGAAAGUGUGGGGAGCGAACAGG